AAUGGGUAUCAUGUAGUUGUUUUAUUCUAUACAAGAACAUGGUCUUGGGGGUCUUGGAAAUAAACGACGUCACAAAGUAUAUAAAAACAUUAUGAAUCAGUUCGAUACGAUAUCUUAUCUUCAGUUUAUUUAUUUGUACAUAAAUAUAACCCAAUUAUCUAUAACAAUAGCAGCCAAUGAAUGGUUAAACUUUUUUUUAACCACGUGACUGUUAACUUUUUAUUACUUAAGGGUAUUUAAAAGAACUUUAAAUUGCGGAUUUUGUUUAUGCUUUCUAUAUUUAGUGGGAUCUUUACGGGGCAAAGAUAUUUUGUGUUUCUUCUUGUGGACAAAUCAAAAUAAAUACAAACUAAUGUUGCUGGACAUGAAAAUGGAAAAGUCAAAGUCAGAGAUUAACAUUACAACUGAUUCGGAAUCUGAGAGUAGUGAAGAUGAUGCAUAUGAAGCAAAUAUAGAAUUUUCUAAUGCAUGUAGACAUUAUUAUUUAUCGCGACUUGAAGCAACUGAAAGUUUUAAGAAGGACCUAAAGAAAGAAGACACGGUAAAGAAAUCUAUUUCACCGAGGCAACGACGAAGGUCGACAAUAGACGAUAAAAUGGAAACACUCAGAUCAGAAAUGGCAUCGCUAAUGGACCAGGAUGUGUCUUUGAUGAAACAAUUAUUAACACUAAACGAGACAAUUAACGAAAUCAAACAAGGUCGUUUGUCGUCGUCAAGUAAAGGAUCCGUAAGUUCCCGCGGCUUUGUUAGUGGAAGUGAUUGGUCUGUUUCAGAAAUGUCAAUCUCACCAAAUGACGAACCCACUUCAUCUAAGUUAACAGGAUAUGUACCAACGCACCCGCAUAAUUCCAGUAAUGCCAGUGUAGAAAGAACAAAGGAUAUGCCAAUCUGUAAAGAAGACAAAAAACAAAUAAGUUUGACAGAUUUGUGGAAAAUGCGAACACAGACAUCUUUGACCUCUAACGAUUCGGGUUAUGUGGAAGACCCCAAUAACCUGCUUCAGACCGAAGUUUAAAUUUAGUCAUGUAAACUCAAUUUUAAGAGAUGGUGCUAAUUCAAAGUGCAAUAUUUAAAAAAAAAACUUUUUUUUUAAAGUUUUUUUUUACAUAAAAUAUUUAAAUAAGAAA